GAUGACUGCCUACUGCCAACACGGAGGAUCUCAGAGAACAGAAAGAGGGAGCCCGGAAGAAAGACAGAGGUGAUCCUGAUGAAGUUAAGCCUGGGUAGGCAGGGGCAGGAGGAGCGGCGGGUCCGGGGGAACCCCCGAGGGGGCGUGGCCACCCACUCUGCCGCUUGCUCUGUUCCUAGAAAAGGGGCGAGGUCCUGCUCAGCUGUCUCCAGAGCAGCGCCCAGAACAGAAUCGCCAGCGUAGCACAAAGGGUCCCUGCUUCCAACCCCUUCAUCCCCGGGUCUACUUCUUCACUUUCCUUCUGCUUCCUGAAGUGGGACGCCACGAGCCUGCACGGACACCUCCUGUCUUCCAGCCAGAGGCGCAUUUGGGAUGGGCUCUGCUGUGAGGAGGUGGUUCUGCCUUCCCCUGGGCUGCGUCUUGCUGUUCAGUCUCACUGAUGCUGACUUGGAAUUUCAAAAGGGAGUGCUUGCCAGCAUCAGCCCUGGCAUCACAGCGGGCAUAGAUCUCCAGUGUUGGAACACUUGCUCUCUGACGCUGAUAGACCUCAAGGAAAUCAAGAUAGAGCACAACGUGGAUGCCUUCUGGAAUUUCAUGUUGUUCUUGCAAAAAUCGCAGCGGCCUGGGCAUUACAGUGUCUUCUUAAACAUAGCCCAGGACUUCUGGGACAUGUAUAUAGACUGCUUGCUUUCAAGGUCUCAUGGGAUGGGCAGAAGACAGGUGCUAUCUUCCAAGUAUAAUUUUCCACAGAAAAUGGCAGGACGUGAUCUGAAGGUGUACCUACGCAAGUAGUGAUGUUGUUUUAUUAAAAAUUCUCCACUUAGUUUGAUUAUUUCAGGUUUGUCAAAUAAGCUAGCAAAUUAUCAUGCUUAGUUUUUUUUAAAAAAUGUACUUUUUUCACUUUUACAUUAUGUAGAAAUCAUGAGUGCUUCAUUAUAGGUAACCUUACAAUAUACAUUGCUAGAUCAUUAAAAUCAUCUUACUGUUAACCAAUGUGUAGUUCAUAAGAAAGCCAUACACCUUUGUAUCUAUUAAUAUUGUAAGACUUAAAUAUCAAGCUUGUGGUGGCUUUUUAAACAAAGCAUUUUUAAUGGGUUGCGUAGAAGAAUGGAAUCUUAUAUUGAUUUUCCCCAAUAUUAUAGAAAUUGAUUAUAAAGCAUUUAAGAAGAAAAACACAAAAAAUACCUCAAGCAAGAUGGCAACUGUAAGCAGAAUCCUGUUAGUAUUUGCCAAGUCAAAUAUUUCCUGCGAUAAUAAAAUGAUUUCCAGUUUCUUAAUCAGGUGGUUUUCUUUCUUUGAUAUAUAAUUACCUUAUUGGUAGUGAUUGAAUUAUUUGCAAAUAUUUAGAUAAUUUGUUAAUAGUUUGUUAUUCAAAAAACAUUUUGCCAAGAUAUCUUUGUUUAAAAAUAGUACUUCAAAUAUUUUUUUACUAGUCAGUGAAAUAAUUAAUUAUAUUAAGUAUCUGGUACCCUAAUAUUUAAAACUUUGCCUCAAGUAAUGCCACUAUCUAUAAGUGAUAUUUAUCGUGAUGUAAUGUUCAUGUAUGUGUGUGUCCUUGUGUGUCUCUUUGUGUAUGUGUAUAUGUUCGUGUGCACGUUCAUGUGUGUGUGUGUUUAAUGUGGAUAAGUAGCUAACAGGGCAGUUUGAACACCCUAGCACAGGGAUUGCAGAUGAUUUAGAGUCAUCGUGUGUAUGCCAAGGAUUGAACCUGAGUUCUCUUGGAGAGCAGCCAGUGCUCUUAAACUCUGAGCCAUCUCUCUAACCCCAUGUUUUAAUUUUUAUUGUCUCAACAUUAAAAAAAUGACCAACACAUACAAAGAAUCUAUAAUUUAGCAAAGUACAGCAUGAUAUAAUUUUUGCCUAGGUAUUGUCAGUCCCAUUUUAGACUUGGUCAUUUUUAUAUUAGUUACAACUCACAGCAUAUUCCACAAACAGUAUGGAGCUUUAAAGAAUUGUACCAAAUAAAAGAAUGAUAUAUGAGGAAAUGAAAUGGUGGGAAGUGAUUACAGGAAACUACUCACACACAGU
ensembl:lincRNA